rnacentral:lncRNA from 1 species
GGCAUCUCCAGAAGCAUGAUAGCUACACAGGUCUACAAAACCAGAAUGCCAUAAAAUACUCUUAAUAAUCCUCCUCACACAGCCAUGAAGUCUGUAAGCAGCUACAGGUAAAAGAGCUGGAGAGAGCAGAAGCAGUAAAUAGUUGUUUUUGUCACUUGAGUCAGCACAUAUAAUUCUUCACACACACAGGAACUAUCUUCGCCGUGGAAGAAAAUACCAUUUGCACAAUAACUUUUCACAGUGGAACUGUGCCUUGAAUCAAACAAGCAAGUACUGAGUCACCUCUGCAGCACAGCAACAACAAUUUGAUCUGCUACGUGGCAAGCUUUGGUUUGAAGAUACUAAACAAUUCCUCAUCCCAGGCCUGGGGCUUUGCAGCUGAUGAGACAUACGAAAGACACAGCUAAAAUCUUACUGCCCACAGACAGAAUAUCAACAUGAGCACCAGGAGUUCAUAACACCUAUGGAAAGCAGCGCUGCAUACGUGCAAAAAGAUAUGAGAGAAUAAUUUCAAGAAAUGCCCUUACAGCACCCAGUCAGCUUCCAAAAGGAUUAUUCAUUAUAAAACAUUCUGGCUUGAUAAUGAAUUCUGAUAGAGGACAUGAUGUUAAUUCAGCUAUUCCUUCUUGGUUCUCCUCUUGGAUUUAAAUAUAUAUUUAUAUAUUUAUAUAUAUUUUAGCCUCUGAAUACUUCUAUGAUCUGAUUUCUUACACCCUGCAGGGGACAGCAUUGGGUAAAGAAAAGUAGAAAUCAUUUGAUAAAAAAGCAUUUGCUUUCAAUUAUCAGAUUGUACUUUCUUAAUUGAGACACAAAAAGUAUUCUCCUUUUAGGUUGAUGCAAAUCCUCUCUCUCUCUCCACCCUUAAACUGCUCUGAAUUAUUAAUCAUAAUUUCUUCAGCUACAGAGUUCGUUCAAUCAAUAGUGAGAAAGAUUCCCAACCAUUUGCAGCCACCAGUGUUAAAGAAGGCAACAGAAACGCUGUACAGAACUGCUGUAACUUAGGACUUCCUUCCUAGGCAGACCAUGUAAUGCUGUUUUUCAGCAGCAACGGCGAAUCCUCUGCGAUAACAGAGGUGUCAGCAUGCAGGUGAAAAAUACUGUUUUUCUACUCUCUCAUUAAAAUACGUAUGUGUACGGGCACACACAAAUUGGGACUGUAAACAUGCGUGUAAAUGCAAGCCAAAGUGUUUGCCUUUUAUUUUUCUUAGCCACUGUCACAAAAUCAAGGUGCUUUCUCCUCCUGCAAAUAAGGGCUGUGUUUAGAAGCGAUACUGCAAAAGGUAUAUGGUAGCCUUGUUUGUUUUGGACAGAUGCAAAGAAGAAUCUCUGAACUUCUGCCAGUGAUCAAAGGAACUGAUGAUGUAGAACAGAUUCAUGGGCCAUGUCCUAUCAGCCUGCACUUUACCCAUCAUCCAUCAUCCAAACCCUAAGCCUUUUUCUGAGUGAUGAUUGCACCCUAAACACAUAAAAUUAAUCACCACUUCAGCCUGGCCAGGUGUCUUGCCUCCAGAAAUUAUCUCACUGCAGCAAAAGAACUGCUAGAAUCUGAUAUCUGCACUGUAAUUUAAUUUAAAGAAUACUGCAUAGUAACACUAAGAUUGAUUUACAUAUCUGAAAAGUUUCUUGUUUCCCAAAGCCAAUAUAAAUUCUUAGAGAAAUAUGUAACUGGAAAAAAAAACUGGUUGAUCAUAAACUUGGGGCAUUUGAAUAUUUAUUAGUUUCUGGAAUUCUCUGAUGAUGUUUUCUACCCCAGUCGUAGCUCAACGCAGGUCUUAAAAUGCAGUUCGCAAAACCAGAAAGGCCAGGUAUGCGAACAGUCUGUGUUUGCUCCUGGAUAUGUACCUCGGUGGAGCACUGGCUGUGGUGUGGGGGACGGCAGUUUGCAUAACAUCGCCUGCUCUCAAUUUCAAGGAGCUCCUCAUUUUUAUUUUCAGAUAUUUCUUCUUUUCUUCAUUAGAAAAGGGAAGAGAAAUUAAGCGGCAGGUUAUUAAACUAUUCCUUGCACCUAUGCUUUGGAAAUGACAAUAGAGCUAUCACAACUAAAUGUGACAGUGGCUAGUAAAUUAGCUCAAAUGUAGACUAGAUUUGUAAGAAAUGCAGGUCCUGCUGCAUUUCAGCUGCUCAGCUUCGCUUCUCACACAGAACACACACAGCAUCUCUGUGUUUUAUAGAAAUAAUAGCAAUUAUAAGUACAAAUGUGAAAAUAAUCCCCACCUAAUGAUAAAUGGAAAUAACAGGCUAAUUCCAGUAUGCAUAUUAAUGAGGAGAGACGAGUCAGCUCUCUGCUAUAAAUAUGAGGCCUAACUCGCAGACAAAUUCUGCUAGUGUUCUGCUUCACUUCUAGAUUAACUGCAAAUCCUAAUAAUUUGCUUUUAAUUGGGAGCUUAGCUCUGAUAUUAAAUUAUCAUAGGAAAGCAAAUGUGGCCAAAAGAUGUAUUAUUAAAAUAAAAACUAUCACAAUAUCCUGGUUUAAAAAAAUCUUAUUUGCUGUAAAAACAAAAAAGAAAAAGCAUCUGAGAAAUAAAUAUUAAUUAGUAGAAAAAAAUAAAUUGGACACUAAAGUACUGUAAUUCAAACACCACUAUUACUGCAUGUUGGCUGUGAUGCUCUACAUGCCGUGGCUUCCCCGACAGUGAGCUCUGCAAAUUCAGCUUUUUCUUUUCCUUCUAUAUUUUGUUAUAAAUGUACGUCUCACUCUCUUGUUGUCUAUAAUAAAUGCUCUCACGCAGAAUACAUUGCAAAACAAAAGGAUAUAGAGCAUUUUUGUGGUCUGCUGCUUCAAUAUUCACAUACUUUCCUGCCUUCCAUGUUCAGUGCCCUUCAGAAAACCAGGAGGUGCAUUAAGCAUGUAAAAUCACGUAUGUUUGU